rnacentral:lncRNA from 1 species
GAUUAAUACUGUUUAGAGACAAGUUCUCCAAUUUUUGUUAUCAAUGAAUACAGUAAGCUAAAUGCUCAUAGAAUGAACUAAAAAAGUUAAUUAUUGAAUUUACCUUGGUAAAUGUGGUUAUGAUGAAACUUCCUUUAAUGUAACAAAACAAUUUUAUUCGCUUUAUGCAUUUGCAUGCACACUUAUAUUUUGCAUGUAUGGUAGAUGAUCGUAAAUAGAACAAACAUAUACAUGCAUACAAUAGUAUGAACUAAAAUGGGAACCUGUUUUAAAUCAAAUGUAGUUUUGAAGCUGUAUUUCUGUGUUUAAAGAUAGAAUGGAAACCAUUGGAGUAUAUAUCUUGGAUAUAACUGUAUUAUAUUGAAGCUGGAAAACCUAACAUUGGUUUUUGGACAGUGCUCAGUAAAUGGAUAUUUGUGUCAGUAAAACAAAGUAGGCAAAGUUAAACAUGCAUAACAUUUAUCAAACACCAGACUUGUUGGCCAAAUAUAUGCUUCAGAACAAAAUACUGUUUGAUGAAAAUGUUUAAUUUCUGAUGCUUCGUCUGCUUAUUUGGUCAUCUCAUACCACUAUAUUCUUGUUUUCAAAAUGGCAGCUCCUCAAAGAUAUUGGUACAUUUGUAGACCAUUUAAUCUAAUACCUCAAAAUUGGCCAAGAAAAAUUAUGAUUACAAAUUUAUUGCAUUGUACACAAAAUAAUGGUAGAAUGUUUUGUUUGAUUUUUUAAAUGUAGGUUAUUAAUCACUUUCCAAACGUAAGACUAAAGUAAAUGUUUAAAGGGUAACGUUUUCAAGCUGCAGAAUAUGCAAAAUUGUCUUAUUUUGAACAAAACAUAAUAAAGUGACCAGAAGGGGAACAAAAAUAUAAUUUGGAAUUGAAAAAUUAGGAAAUUGCUUUAAAUAAAUUAAUUCAAGGGAAAAUUGUGCCUUCUAACAUGUUUAUUGUUAUAUAUCAAAGUAAGUAGAUUUACAUUACAGUCAGUUAUGAAAAUAGAUAAUCUGAGCUAUCUCCCCUAAAUCAAAUUGUAAAGAAUUUUUAUAAAUUAGAAUUUCUGUAUGCAAAACAAUAUAUUUUUGUAAGUAAUAAAAUUUAUACUAUAUAAUUGUUUGCUAAUUUUGGUAAAUUUCUAUACAAAUCGUAUGAGGUGCAAGAUGGUGACGUGAAUUUACCAAAUUUGAAAUAAAGAUUUUUGCUGUGUAUUUUAAGAGAUUAAUUGCUCCAAAUUUAAAAAUGAGCUUCCUGAUAUGCUAUUUUUAGCUGAGUGUAGAUAUUUAGUAGUGGAUAUGAAAUGUAUAGCUUUUUAUAAAUGCCUAAUUCCCCUCAUCAAUAUGACAGUGCUAUCAAUUAUUGAAUUAGCUUUCUAUCAAUUCAUACUUUACUAAUAGUGUGCUGUGUAAAAUUUUGUAUGAUUGUGAUACAUGCUAUUGUUAUUGUUUUCCCAGUCAGAGUUUGUUCUUUGUUUUCUUUUUCUUUCAUGCUACAAUAAAUUAAUAAGCUUUUUAUGAGUG